UUUCCUCUUCCAACUUUUGGAAAUGGCUAUGGGGUACCAAAUUUGACAAAAACACUAAUCUAGCCUCAAAUUAAACCUAAAACUAACCCAUAUAAAUACAAACCAGUUACAAUUUUCAGUAAAAACCUAAAACAAAGAACGCUUUCAAAUCUCAUCUAAUCUUUCCAAAUUCCGUAAACCUUAAUCAAUUUGUUUUUUGAUCUUCACGUCCAACGAUCUCCAAUCCAGCCAAGAAAAGAUAUGGACUUCGGUCACUUAGCCUUUUAUUCUUGAGAGCUCCAACAGGAGGAUGUUGACUGGACACCGGAGACUAUGGUACCUAAAAGCAUGUACAAGUUCGCUAUGGCGGGGAGACCCAUUUGGAGUAGGAACUUGAUGACAAGCUCGCAUUGGAAGAGCUCAUUGAGCUCAUCAGGUUUGCCAGGAGAAUAAGGGAUGCAAUUGCAUCUCGGAGAUCCUACGACAAACAUAUGAAUAGUCUGUUUGCAGAAACGGCUAAAGCAGAAGCUUCCAAUGCAGGUGUUGAUGCUGGUAUUCCAUGAUGCUGAUGCUCUCUUUUAGAUAUUAUAAGUUUAUUUUUUAAGUUCUUAAGAUUUUUGGUGGUUUAAUUUUUAAUUUUUUAACACUUUUUUGGAUGAUUAUGGUUUGAGUUAAAAUGCACUUAAAGUUUUAAUUA